rnacentral:rRNA from 1 species
AGUCGAGUGCGCGGUUGUAGCAAUACAACUGGCGCACGGCGCACGGGUGCGUAACACGUGGGCAAUCUGCCCUUCGAUGGGGAAUAACUCCGGGAAACCGAAGCUAAUUCCGCAUAACAUUCCUUGGACUUCGGUUCGAGGAUUCAAAGCCGUAAGGCGUCGAAGGAGGAGCCCGCGCACGAUUAGCUAGUUGGUAGGGUGACGGCCUACCAAGGCUUUGAUCGUUAGCUGGUCUGAGAGGAUGGCCAGCCACACUGGAACUGAGACACGGUCCAGACUCCUACGGGAGGCAGCAGUGGGGAAUCUUGCACAAUGGGCGAAAGCCUGAUGCAGCGACGCCGCGUGGGGGAUGAAGCAUCUCGGUGUGUAAACCCCUUUCGACCCGGACGAAUGCCUCGCAAGAGGAGUGACGGUACGGGUAUAAGAAGCCCCGGCUAACUACGUGCCAGCAGCCGCGGUAAGACGUAGGGGGCCAGCGUUGUUCGGAAUUACUGGGUGUAAAGGGUUCGUAGGCGGUGUGGCAAGUUGGGAGUGAAAUCUCUGGGCUCAACCCAGAGGCUGCUUCCAAAACUGCCAUGCUUGAGUGUGGGAGAGGCGCGUGGAAUUGCAGGUGUAGCGGUGAAAUGCGUAGAUAUCUGCAGGAACACCCGUGGCGAAAGCGGCGCGCUGGACCACAACUGACGCUGAGGAACGAAAGCUA